rnacentral:rRNA from 1 species
UGGGGAAUAUUGCACAAUGGGCGAAAGCCUGAUGCAGCAACGCCGCGUGAGUGAUGAAGGUCUUCGGAUUUGUAAAGCUCUGUCUUUUGGGACGAUAAUGACGGUACCAAAGGAGGAAGCCACGGCUAACUACGUGCCAGCAGCCGCGGUAAUACGUAGGUGGCGAGCGUUGUCCGGAUUUACUGGGCGUAAAGGGUGCGUAGGCGGAUGUUUAAGUGAGAUGUGAAAUACCCGGGCUUAACUUGGGUGCUGCA